GAUCCCCGUCCUCGURCGGCCGACUACCGACGCCGUGUCCCGUCAUUCRUGUGGCUUAUGCUACUGUUGCCUUUUGAAGUGCUUGCGUGCCGGUACCCGACCUACGGGAAUUGGUGCUUCGUACASGGUUGCCUCGCGGUGGAUGCCUUCGGGUGUUCCGCUGUGGCCAAGUGGCGCUUGCGGCGUUGCCUCGUGGUGCUGCACGUUUACGUGUCCGGUGCUAUCAAGGCAGCCUCGCUCGUGCUGUUGGUUUCGGAUGUUGCUCACGAUAAAGGCUCAUAUGGCCCUUUUGGUUGCCUAGACCGACCCUUCUAAGCUCUCUGAACCCGAACGUGUCGUAGAACGGGGUGUUGCCUCUGCCUCUCCA
rnacentral:misc_RNA from 1 species